rnacentral:lncRNA from 1 species
CCUGUAGCAUGAGAGCAUUAACGCUGAUCUCAGAAUCGGCAGCAACGAGAGUCACUGCAAAAACUGUCCCAGUUCCCUGCCCUUUCACCUUUCCCAAAGAAGUAUCUUUGUCCUCAACCAUGGCCUUGAAUUCUUUUCCACUGUUUAAAGUGAGAUCGCUCAAAUAUUCAGCUGCUUCUUGGCCAAAAUCCUCUUCCAAGUUUGGAAGCUUUAUGUAAGCAAGGCUACAUAAUUGAGCAAGACCAGGUGCAGCAGACACAGUUGGAUCAAGAGGCCGUAACUGACUGUAAGCUACUUCUUCUUGAUUACCAUAAUCAAUGUAGAAUACUUCAAAUUUGUCUUUUGGUGACUCAACUGGUCCUCUAGGUGUGUUGACAAUCUACAAAAUUUAGUUACGAAUUAUCAGUAUAAAAAACAAAGGAAAGUGAUACCAUGCAGUAUUUCACAAAGAAAAUAGCAAAUAGAGUAGAAAUAGACAAUGAGACAAGUAAUGGACUAACUAUUAAGCAUCACAUCACUUUAAACUGUAAUUGCACGAAAUUGCGUAAACGGUGAGGAGAACAUAUGCAUAAAGCGAUGCAACUAAAUAAUUUCAGGCUCAUUUUAUCAUGCCAACAAGAAUAUAACCAUCUGUAUACAAUAAUGGUCUACUUUAAAUAGACGGAUCCACUCUAGAUUAAUAUUCCUGGUUAAAUAAGCUUCCGUAGUUAUGCAAAGAAUCUAUGAAGUACUGAUAUAGAUACAUCAAAGCACAUUUUUUUGAAAAUGUAGGAUAUAAUACACUUGGGAUAGGCAUAUAAAAUAUGUGCAUGAAAUUCAUAAAACAUAAUAAGCAUAUAAUCAUUGUUCUGAAAAUUCAACUAAAGAACAUAUUUCUUAGAAAUUACUAAAUACAAAAUAAGAGUGUCAUAUUGUCAUAAAAAAUCAUUGCUUAGAGCUCACAAAUAGGAAUAAUAUCGAUCUCUUUUAAUCCAUGAUCAACACUAGGCAGAUGCAUUUCUUCUCUUCAUUCUCAAUGCAAUACACAUGUUUUGUCCUUUUUCUCUCACUACGAUUUCACUCGAUAGAUUGAAUGUUAUGCUUCUCUCCUCUACUUAAUUGAUUGUGUGUCAUGUUUCUCUCUCUUAAAUUAAAAUGCUCUUGUAUGGUAGAUUGGGUGUUUGGGAGGUAUCUAAAAACAUUUUAAGAGUAUCGGAGAGGAUCUGGAAAGUGUCGGAUUUAUAAUUUAAUUAUUUUUCAAAAACAUAAUUUGGAUACUUUAUCAAUAAGUAUUAUGAAGUAUGGGAGAAUAUAGGUAUCUGAUACGGUCAAAUGGAUACGUGAAGAAUGAUAACACCGGUAAAAGAAUGCACAAAAGAAGAAGAAGAUCCGAACAAAAUCGAUCCGGAAUCAAUUGAAUUCCGGAUACUAAUACCUCUUUAUUGAUUGCAAGAUUAGAAGAAAACAAUGAAGAACCCUAAUUGAUUCCCUGAAUCAAUUACACACUACAAGAUUGAUUCCCUGAAUCAAAUCCCCUCCUACUCAAUACUUCCAAAGCUAAACUUCUCUAAAACUAGCUCUUUAUUUAUAGCCUAACUAACAACUAACUACUAGGGGUAUUUUUGGAAUCUUUUAACAACUUUCCUAUUUCCCCUUCUAUAUACAUUUUCAAUAUUAGGCUUUGGCUCUGGCCUAACCCUAUCAAUACCCUCCCCUAGAAGAAUUAACUUGUCCUCAAGUGGAAACUCAAGGAACNNNNNNNNNNNNNNNNNNNNNNNNNNNNNNNNNNNNNNNNNNNNNNNNNNNNNNNNNNNNNNNNNNNNNNNNNNNNNNNNNNNNNNNNNNNNNNNNNNNNAGGAAUCGGGGAUUUGGUUGAGGAAUGUCAUCAUACCACAAAACCUCUUUCAGAAACGUAGAUCAAAUGAGCACAUCCAGGAACAUGGAUUCAGGUAUGACACUGCACCCUUUGAUUCAUAUAUGUGCGUGAGAAUCAUGAAAUUCAAGAUCCUAAGAUUGGUAUUUCACCAAUCAUAAGGAAUUUCCAACCGUAGUUUCUAAAGGAUUUAAAACCAUCCCCUAAGCCACCACCCAAACUUUAGCGUUAAAGGGAAGACAAUUUCUGAAAACACCGAAAGACUAACAAACAUGAAAUUUUUAAUUGUUCAUAGAACGACUUUGAUGUCCUCAUGGGAACAAAGAAACAUGCCGCAAGCAUCUUAUUAUUACAUCUAUGGAGAAAAAUAGUCCCUUCAACCUAGCAACAAAAUUUCAAUUAAAAAAGCUUACAAAGGAUUUCCCACAGCAUUUUCUUGUUUUUUCCUCUCUAACUUCAGAAAUGUGCAUGCCUAUAACUUCACUCACUUUCUCUGAAGAUGUCUAAUAAUUUACCUUGCCUUUCUUGCAGGAGGUGCAGUGUCUUCAUCAUCAGACUGAAUAUCUCCAUACUGCCAUAUUCCACGCCUGGUGGUCUUCGCUUCUUCCUGGAAAUUCUCCAAAUUAUCAAGCGCCAGCUUUCUUUCUCUUUUGUCCCAUCUAUUCCUUUUCUCAAUCCGAGCAAGUCCUUCCUGGAAAUUCCACACGAAAACAAAAUGAUUAAAGAAGUUUGUUUUGUACUGUAUGUGCAAUCAUCUAACCAUAUAAGACUUCAAAAGCAUUUUAGUUUUCAAGCAAAAAGAGUGAGCAGAAAUGAAAACCUGUAAAAUGAGAGCAUUAACACUAAUAUCAGAAUCGACCGCAACAAGAGUCACAGCAAGAACUGUCCCAGUUCCCUGCCCUUUCACUUUUCCUCCAGUAGUAUCUCUCUCCUCAACCUUGGCCCCGAACUCUUUUCCACUGUUUAAAGUGAUCUCACUCAAAUAUUCUGCUGCCUCUUGGCCAUAAUCCUCUUCCAAGUUUGGAAGCUUUAUGUAAGCAAGGCUACAUAAUUGAGCAAGACCAGGUGCAGCAGACACAGUUGGAUCAAGAGGCCGUAACUGACUGUAAGCUACUUCUUCUUGAUUACCAUAAUCAAUGUAGAAUACUUCAAAUUUGUCUUUUGGUGACUCAACUGGUCCUCUAGGUGUGUUGACAAUCUACAAAAUUUAGUUACGAAUUAUCAGUAUAAAAAACAAAGGAAAGUGAU